rfam:Myotis brandtii contig305217, whole genome shotgun sequence.
GGCGAUUCUCAGGUGACGCACCCGGAAUCAGGCUCCCUCCUCUCUGGUUCCGAUCACCCAAGAACCACA